GGGACCCCAGUAGCGUGAUGAGACUUGCUCUCUGAGCGUGAAGGGGUGGCACUAAAUUGAGGGAAGCGACUGUUUACCAAAAACACAGCAGCGUGCUAAGCCGUAAGGCGCUGUAUACGCUGUGACUCCUGCCCGGUGCUGGAAGGUUACGGGGAUGGGUUAGUCCUUCGGGACGAAGCUCUGAACCUAAGCCCCAGUAAACGGCGGCCGUAACUAUAACGGUCCUAAGGUAGCGAAAUUUCUUGUCGGGUAAGUUCCGACCUGCACGAAUGGAGUAACGACUUCCCUACUGUCUCAACCAUAGACCCAGCGAAAUUGAAGUACGAGUAAAGAUGCUCGUUAGCUGCAGAAGGACGGAAAGACCCCGUGGACCUUUACUAUAACUUGAUGUUGUGUUUUGUCAUAUGUUGUGUAGGAUAGGUGGGAGACUUGGAAGCAUGGACGCUAGUCUGUGUGGAGUCAUCGUUGAAAUACCACCCUGCAUAUGGUGAGGCUCUAACCUAGACCCGUUAUCCGGGUUGGGGACAGCGUCAGGCGGGUAGUUUAACUGGGGCGGUUGCCUCCUAAAGAGUAACGGAGGCGCCCAAAGGUUCCCUCAGCCUGGUUGGCAAUCAGGCGUUGAGUGCAAUGGCAAAAGGGAGCUUGACUGCGAGACCUACAAGUCGAGCAGGAGCGAAAGCUGGGCAUAGUGAUCCGGCGGUUGCGUGUGGAAGCGCCGUCGCUCAACGGAUAAAAGGUACCCCGGGGAUAACAGGCUAAUCUUGCCCAAGCGUCCAUAGCGACGGCAAGGUUUGGCACCUCGAUGUCGGCUCAUCGCAUCCUGGGGCUGAAGCAGGUCCCAAGGGUUGGGCUGUUCGCCCAUUAAAGCGGUACGCGAGCUGGGUUCAGAACGUCGUGAGACAGUUCGGUCCCUAUCCUCUGCAGCCGGAGGUGAAUUGAGGAAAGCUGUCCCUAGUACGAGAGGACCGGGACGGACGCAGCUCUCGUGUGCCAGUUGUCCUGCCAAGGGCAUGGCUGGUUAGCGACCUGCGGAAAGGAUAACCGCUGAAAGCAUCUAAGCGGGAAGCCUCUUCCAAGAUGAAUUCACCCACAGGGUUAACCUGGUAAGGCCCGUGGUAGACCACCACGUUGAUAGGCCGGAAGUGUAAGCGUGGCAACACGUUCAUCUGACCGGUACUAAUCGGCCGAGGGCUUGAGUUC
rnacentral:rRNA from 1 species